AGAAUAAUAGCCGCAUGAAAGAAUUUCUGUUAUUUUGUGUUGACGAGUAAGGGUUAGCAACAUUAAAUACAAGGGGUGGGAGAGAACCUUGGUGGAGUCUGUCUGGACAGGCUCACUCUGGCCAGUGAUGUAACGGCCACUUGGGUGGUAUGGAACUCUGAGAUGUGUACCCGUCACUUACUGCUUUCUCUCACCCAAACAUCUGGAAGACCAAAUCCUGUCAUUAGACAGCCCACAUGUUAGAAAAACAAAAGGACAGAAAUAAAAAAAAAAAGAAAGAAAACCCAGUGCCCUCCAAAUGGCUGGAGAAAGCCUCAUUAUUGCUGGUAGGAAAUUAGACAUGUAAGGUUAUACUUCAAAGCAACUAUUUUUAUUACAAGAGGCUCAAUGUUUUGAUUUAUUGGGCUUCAGAGCAAGAUUGCAACAAAUAUUUCCACCUCAAAGAAAAGACGAAUCAGGCCUCUGAGCAGUCUACUAAGUGGACUGAGCAGCCUAGAAGUAGCUGAAAAAUCAAGUUUGUUGCAACAGGAGUUGGAAUGAUGAAAAUUGUAUGCAUCUGCUCAAAGUCCCUGGAAAAGGGGCCGCUUCAGUACACAUGCCUCAAAGAAAUGAUGUAAUCGUGUGGGAAUUUUCUUCUCAUCAAAGGACUAUGAUAUCACCCUUUCUUAGUCUUCAAAGUGCUUUCACAAUUCAGAGGAAACAAGUUCAGAGAACUUAAGCAACCUGUCCAAGGUCACACAGCUAUGGACAGGAGCGUGCCAAGUAUCCAGUUCUCUUUCCCCAGCAGCUCCUAACCCAUCUGCCUGCACUGACCAUGUGUUCCAGAUGGACUGCAUAUGCUGCGGUGUGAACGUGCCAAUCGGGAAAUCUGAAAUGUGUGUUUGAUCAACGAAGGCAAAGACUCGGUCCUUGGUGAAAACCCACUUUUCCCUUUGACUUGUCUCUCCAGACAUACUUGUAUUAUGAUGACAAUUAGUAAUUACACGGAGUCUUUCAACCUCAAAGCCCUCAAACUCCUUUUAGUUAGUGCCUUCUGUUUGGCUCCGUGAGUCACUCUGCAGGCUCCGGCAUCAUAGAGGUGGGCUAGCUGUGGGACCUCCACUGUUGGAGUGUGGGUAGAAAGUCCAAAAGAGAGAGAAAACCUGUAGGCGAAAUCUUUAUGCCGUGCAUGUCUGGGUUUAUUGUCACAGACGUUUCGAUCACAACAUUUCAAGCAACAGUGCUCUGUACAGUUUGAUUACAGAUUGCAGUUAAUUUUCUCCUCGCCUUUUCUUUAUGUCAGUG
rnacentral:lncRNA from 1 species